CCGGCACGGUGAGUAACACGUAUGCAAUCCACCUGUAACAGGGGGAGUAACCCGGAGAAAUCCGGACUAAUACCCCAUAAUAUGGGCGCUCCGCAUGGAGAGCCCAUUAAAGAGAGCAAUUUUGGUUACAGACGAGCAUGCGCUCCAUUAGCCAGUUGGCGGGGUAACGGCCCACCAAGGCGACGAUGGAUAGGGGUUCUGAGAGGAAGGUCCCCCACAUUGGAACUGAGACACGGUCCAA
rnacentral:rRNA from 1 species